AUCUGGGUCUGUGGGUAUGUGCAUAUGAAUGCUGGUGCCCAUACAGGCCAGGUGUCAGGUCCCCCACCUGAUGUGGGUGGGUGCUAGAUAUCAAACUCACUCGGGGCAAGCACUCUUAAUCCCUAAACCAUAACUUCAGCCUCCUCAUUUUAUUUUAUUUUAUUUUUUUUUAAGACAAGGUCUCAAGUAGUUCAGGCUAGCUUCAAGCUUCCUAUGUAGCCAAGGUUAAUCUUGAACUCCUGAUCCUCCUGCCUCCACUUCCUGGGCACUGAGAUUGUAGGCCUAUAUUACAACAACCAGCUUAAAAAGAAUUUUUUUUUUCAACACAAAAUGGAGGACUAGAGAGACAAAACAGACACAAGGACUCACAAAAUGGCAGAUAUAAAUCCCUCAUGUAAAAUGACUCAGCCAGGUGAGUCAGCCUUUGUCAUCAACCACACCAUGGCUGGCACAACAGAUGCAUGAGUUAAGUGACCCUGUGGCAGAAUGAGACUCUUGAGAGCCCAGUAGCCCAGGUUCUCACUUCCCAGGACUUAACUACUUAUUGCCUCUACUUGACAGCAAGAGAGGCCUGUGCAAGCCCUUGGUAUGUCAUCACACCCCCAAGAAACCAUCUAGUGACAAAAGCUGGACACUUUGGAAUCUUUCUUUGGUGAAUGAUUCAUUCUAACAAGAAUGGACAAGUAUUUGGACCAGGGGAUUCAACUUGCAACAAAGAAGUGAUGGUGGUGGUUAUCUGACAUGGAAUCUGCUGUCUCUAUUGCUCACCAGCUGCAACAGUGCCUGCUUGACUGCCUUACUCUGCAGAAAUGGAAUGCCAUUUUCCAGGUUGCCUAAGGACACAGGACAUCCGCCCCCCCCCCCGCCUUUUUUUCUUUAACUAUGGUUCUGUGUCUCCAGCAGGAAGAAUGUGUGGACCUGGGAAGCAAACUUGCUAUCACUCCCCUGGGCCCCAGAACUACUACUACUGUUCCGAUUCUGUAGGGCUACGGGACCUGGUUCCUAUCAUGGGACUCUUUCCACCAGGUGACGCAGCAGCAAUCCCUUUGAAUAACUAGUGCCUGAGCACUUUGUGUAUCUGGUAUCCAGAGACAAGGGGAACAGACUCCUUGAGAUUAUCCUCAUCAUCAGGAUCCCACGUCCCCCAUAUCCAACAGCCGAUCAAAGUAUGGUUCUAGAUUCAGACCUGGACCAGGGAAAUGGCUCAGUUGGUAAGGUGCUUGCUUUCUGAGUUUGAGCUCAGAAUCCACAUUAAAAAGCCAAGUGUGACAGCAUGUGCUUGUAACGGUGGAGAAAGGAGGAUCUCAUGGGACUCAGCAGCCAGCCUGGCCUACUUGGUGACCUCCAUGCCAGUGAGAGACCCUAUCUCAAAAAGCAGGAUGGAUGGCUCCUCAAGGACACACCUGAGGUUGUCCUCUAGCCUCCAUGUGCACGUGGACACAUGAGCAUGUGAACUCACACACACCCAAACAUGCACACACAUAACACAAUAAAAAUGGGUCCCAGCACUUUCAGCCUGGUUGGGGGCACUCUGGUUCCAGGCUCCUCAUGGGUCAUUUAAGGCUGCCGGUCAUCCUUCUAGCUUGUGUUUCCUUCCUCUACACUUGCUUCCUUCUCUUCCCUUCCCUUCCACAGGUGUCAAUUUCAAAGGCACUCCCUAAUAAACAUCCUGGAUGUUAAACAGUGACUCAGAGGCUUCUUCCUGUGGAGUCAAAGCUAUGAAGACGCCCUGUUGCCCCUAGAACUGUAAUGUGUUUUCCUCACUAAUGAGAACACUCAGAGCAUUUCAGCAAAAUCGUCUAAAUCAGGAUUUAACAAGUUUGCCUCUGAUCUCCAGACUCCACUGAAAUUGGCAAAGAUCUGGGUGGGAGGGAGAACUGUGGUUGGAAUGCAAAAUGAAAUUUUAAAAAAUUAAAGAUGGAGAAAAAAAU